rnacentral:rRNA from 1 species
ACGGGUGAGUAACGCGUAAAGAACUUGCCCUUUAGACUGGGAUAACAGAGGGAAACUUCUGAUAAUACUGGAUAAGUUAGUAUAUCGCAUGAUAUGCAAAUGAAAGCUACGGCACUAAAGGAGAGCUUUGCGUCCUAUUAGCUAGUUGGUAAGGUAAGAGCUUACCAAGGCGAUGAUAGGUAGCCGGCCUGAGAGGGUGGACGGCCACAAGGGGACUGAGAUACGGCCCUUACUCCUACGGGAGGCAGCAGU